ACAAAAAUGAAUUCUGCACACUAAUUGUCUAAUUCAUAGGCUGAGAUAACAUAAAAAAUUUUAAUUCACCCUUUUAAAAAGUAAAAAACCCUCAAAGUUUAAUUUUUUAAUAAAAAAUAUAUUUUUAUAUCACAAAGUUUUAAGAUGUUAGCAAUCGGAUAAGUAAAGUUGGAUUUGCCGCAAUUUGAUCAAGAAGGUUGAGAAAUUAUGUAAAAUAAAAAAAAAUCAGAUAAUAGAGCUCAAUGUUGUCUGCCUUUCG
rnacentral:lncRNA from 1 species